UAACAAUGCUUCUAAAGUCUCUCUGACCUAGAACUCGGCCCCCAGGCUUCCAGAAAUGUCUAUCUGGUUCAACACCAUUUCUCUUCUGAAUGCAUAGCUCUGCUGUACUGCUUCCAGCCAGACCUCACACUGACCUCUUCCCCUGUGUUCUCAACUCCCCAUGGCCAUUCUGUCAAACUUUUUUCUUGGCGCAUGAAUGUCCUUUCCAUUUCCUCUUCAGUUCUCUAAGGAACACUAUGACUCUGGCUGCCAAAUGGAUAGGAUGCUUUUUAAGGCACAGCUUUGAAAAAAUGGCCACUUGGUGAAUGACAAUAACCAAAUCUUAAAAGAAAAUUCAUUAGCGUGUUCUUGGGAAGCUUGGAGGACAGCUACGUCUACGUCUAUGCAAGUUCUAGAGGCUGAUAAGUCCAAGCAUAUGGUGCCAGCAUCUGGUGAGGCCUUCUUGCUGUGUAAUCUCAUGGCAGAAGAGUGGAAGGACAAGUGAGCACAUGCAAAAGGGAUUGUACAAGAGUGAAGGCAGUUUUCCUACAGAAACCUUCAAAAAAGGAGAUGCAUCCUUCCUUGUUCCUGGCAGUCUUGCAUUUGAGGAAAUCAGUAUGCUCCAACUUAGACUUAUCUUUUAGUCUCCAGAGGCAGAAAAAAAGCAGAAAAGGUUGUUGAAAUUCUUCACAUUGAUUUCAGGGCAAUGAUCUCAAACGGCGCAGUGGGAACCCGCAAAUUUAAGAGGUAAGGGAAGCAAAUGGACUCACUGGGAACUUUAUCAGGGUAGUUUCCCUGCACAAGCCCUUUUUUUGCCUGCUGCCAUCCGUGUAAGAUGUGACUUGCUCCUCCUUGUCUUCUACCAUGAUUGUGAGGCCUCCCCAGUUAUGUGGAACUCAAAGCUAGAGGAAACCAAAGUCAUAGAACAUCUGAACUCUGUCCAAACAUCGGUCGUAUUUCAAAAUUUCAGAGCCUCAGACUUCCAUGAUAAUAUCUGCCUAGUCUUUAGAAGAGUGUAUGGAAGUGUUCAAGAACCUUUCCUGAAACAACUUCUAUUACAGACACUGCUUCUUCAUGGUUAUUCCAUCAGAUUGCAAUCACUUAUAUGUUUUUUUCCACUCUUCCUUAUAUUAUGAGCACUUUUCACGUAGGGGUUCAUCUCUUUAAUAAUCAUAGCUCCCAACACAAUUGUAGGCUUAUAUUAGAUGCUCGAUAAAGAUGAGUUGAGUUAACAUGUAAAGUAAUGAAUGAGUAAGGAAAAAUAGAAUAGUUUCGAAUUAAUGCAUGUUACUGCUACUGUAAAUUUAAUGUUUUCAUUUCUAUUACUAUUUAUAUAUAAAUUUAAUUAAUUGUUAACUUUCUUUGCCAUCCAUACAUCUAUUUAUCUGCUCAUUUGAAAAUCUCUUUCCUGUUUCCUAUUAUUCAAAAUAUUAAAAGCAAAUAUUACUUAAAUAUUUAAAUCACUCUUUUUCCAUGUUAAGUUUCUCAGGAUGCAGAAUGUUGCUGUACACUGAGAAAUAUUAGGCGAUACAAAAUGGCUACUAUAACGUAAUGUUCUAGAAAAUGAUAAAAGUCAAACCCAUUGGUUUUUGCUGCCAACACAAGUUUGUCAAUGUAAUUAAUGCCCUUUAGCCUGGGAGGGUUGUAUGACAGGAAAAAUGGCAUCAAAGCCAUUUUUAUUUAAAAAAUAAAUUUAAUAUUACUUGAUAAUAAGGGAGCUAUAUAAGCAAAAAUCUUAGAAUUUUCUUUUUCUUUUUUUUCCUUAGUUUCACAUCUUUCUACAUAGUAUCCAAAUCCCAGUUGUUGAUACUAAUUUUCUUGCCUUCUUACCCUUAACAAGUUUGGAGACAAAGUUAAUAUCAUUAGUAGUAUGUAAACUAAUUCCUAAAGCAAAAGUCUCUAAAAGUGUGAUCCAUGUCCCAUUUUUUAUUGGUCUGCAAUGAGGUAAGCACAGAAAUUUUAAUCACCUCCACGCAUACCUUCAAUGAGCAACAUGUACAGUUUUUUGAGACUCUUCUCUCUUUUCCUGUUAUUUUCUGAUUGCAUUUAUAAAAAUGCAAUUUUGUGUUUGUUGAAUCUGAUGAUAAAAAAUGAGGAAACACCGCAUAUUCUCACUCAUAGGUGGGAAUUGAACAAUGAGAUCACAUGGACA
rnacentral:lncRNA from 10 species